GAUGAACGCUGGCGGCGUGCCUAAUACAUGCAAGUCGAGCGAACAGACGAGGAGCUUGCUCCUCUGACGUUAGCGGCGGACGGGUGAGUAACACGUGGAUAACCUACCUAUAAGACUGGGAUAACUUCGGGAAACCGGAGCUAAUACCGGAUAAUAUAUUGAACCGCAUGGUUCAAUAGUGAAAGACGGUUUUGCUGUCACUUAUAGAUGGAUCCGCGCCGCAUUAGCUAGUUGGUAAGGUAACGGCUUACCAAGGCAACGAUGCGUAGCCGACCUGAGAGGGUGAUCGGCCACACUGGAACUGAGACACGGUCCAGACUCCUACGGGAGGCAGCAGUAGGGAAUCUUCCGCAAUGGGCGAAAGCCUGACGGAGCAACGCCGCGUGAGUGAUGAAGGUCUUCGGAUCGUAAAACUCUGUUAUUAGGGAAGGACAAAUGUGUAAGUAACUAUGCACGUCUUGACGGUACCUAAUCAGAAAGCCACGGCUAACUACGUU
rnacentral:rRNA from 1 species